CAAUACAAUCAAACUUGAAAAUGUUUCAUGUAACACAUAUAAUACAUAUAUUUAUAAAAACGUUUACAAGCGCUACAAUACUUUCAUAAGCCUUUCCACAUUUCAUUCGUUUCGUUUUUCAAAUGCCUCAUUCGUUACGGUAAUAAUUUGUCAAAAGACAUAUCCAUUGUACUCAUUAUCUAAUACUUGUCAGCAUUAGGAUGCAUCGUGACUACUAGCGCCAUCACUGUUACUUGUGAAAUAACUUUCCCGCAAAAUUUUAGAACAUAGUCCUAUGUACAACCUUUGCCCCAUAAGUACGGAAAAGUCUUUCUUUUUCCACUUAUACCCAUAGACAACCAUACGUACUGUACUCAACAUGAUUUUCUAUGUCGCGAUCAUAAAUUAAAUUCCAACGUGGAACAAGCUCCAAGAAACACGUCGAGAGGUUUCGAGGUGUUCCCGAUCGAGUCGUCAGCGCCAUCGCUAGAAAAAGUGCACGGCGCACGCUCGUGGCCGUUCGAAAUCACGCGAGAAAGUUGGCGUAUCGCGCGGUGAGAAGCGCGACGAAGGCAAGACCGCGACGACACGACGACGAACGAGACCUCCGCUCUUCCUCUGGACAAAUAUGUAAUACGAUCCACGUACGUGCGCACACGGUGCCACAUACGUUCACGGAGAGGCACGCACACAGCGGCGAGAGCCGAGUGGCCGCAAGUACAAAGGGGCCACGGCAAUAUAGUUUUAAAACGGAAUCGAACGAACGAGCGAGCCGGCCAGCGCAGGAAGGGCAGAGAGGCAGCAAAAGCGAGUCCCGACGAGUAACAGUGGGCGACCCUGCUGCCGGCUGCCGACAGCAUUCCUACAACAACACAACGCAGCCCCGCGAACCCACACAUCGUGCACAAUACACACGCCACACCACCGAUGCCAGUUUCAUUCUGUAUCUCGUCGUCCCGCCGUCAGCUUGGCACGUCACCCAUUCGACGCCGGUAAUAUACGCUCGCCGUUCGCGGCGAUAAAUAUUACAAUAUAAUAUUCCUCGGCGUGAGACGAAGGAUUCCUGACAAGCCUUGCAGGACGAAACGGAAAGCCAAGCGGCGAAAAGGUCACCGACGGAAGGGAUAUCGCGUUACUGGAGACAACGAACAACUUUGCUCGAAGGAGGCAUCCUUUUACGAUUCACCGAAUAGCUCGUGGAGCGAUUUUUUCAUUCAAAGGCGAGGAAUUAUUAAAACGCGUAUUCCCUUCGGUCACACCGAGCUCGGAGGCCGAUUCCAAUCGGUCGCGUCUUACGAAUGCAAACGGUGACGCAGAAAUACGUGGUCGACGCCGAGAUGCUCCGCCCUCACCCUCUCGAUUUGCUGCGUUUGGUCGCAGGUCGUCCCGGCGCGGCGUCAGGCUGGAACGUCAGCUCGCCCGCUUCCUCCUCGUUCUCCUCCUAUGAGAGCCACCUACACGGUUCUCACACCCAGAACCGACUUUACGUUCAUAUACGUAUACUCGUGGACUGUGUUCCCUGGAAGAACCGCAGAGAAACCACUACCUAACGGACCGAGCAGUCCGUUUUUGUCCACGUACCACUACGCCAAGGAAACACUGUGCACACGUACUUAUAUACUCACAUUAAACUCAAACGAUUCGACUGCAUAGAGAGGGCCAAGAGAGUCGUCCCCCCCCUCCCCCUUUACUUAAUGUGCAACGCGUAGAACCCGAAGGUCGAAAUUUUAAUGCGCCAUUUUUCUGCCACAGAAUGAUUUAUAGUUGGCGCUUGUAUUAACCCUGUCGUGGUUCCUGAAUUUUUUUUCUGAAUUACGUUUCAAUUUUACUUUAAUUAAAUAAAAUUGCUUUCAAUAAAGAUAGUAAGGAUUCUUUCGUAUCUUCUUCGAACGAAGAAAAAUUUUCUAACGAUAGAAAGUUCCGUUUGUAACGAAUAUGAUGCAACAGGCAUUCGCGUAAUUGCUUGAAGAUUAUGUACUAAUUUCUCCAACUAUGGGAAAAACACAAGUUAUCUGCAACCUCCAGCUGCCACCCGUAUUCUAUAACAUAAGCAACAUAUACUGUUCGAAUGAAUAAACCUGGCUAGUAAUGUUCAUCUGUCGACAAGUUCAGAUAAAUUACUAUUACGCUACGAUUGUAAUAUUCCUAAAUUCUAUAGAAAUUCAUAAACGUAAAACACGAUCGAAUGCGUUCACUUUCAAAUAAUUUAAAAACAGCGACACCUGUUUACAAGCUUCGCGAAAAUAUCUAAACACACGACAGGACAAUUCGCGUUUGCCGCUAAACGAAAUUCCAAUCGGCGAUCCGCAUUCUACCUGCGCAUUCGUGUCGCGCAGCACGUGACCAGGCGUUAAGGUGGGGGCGGAGUGGGGGUAACCAGGUUCUCCCACUUUUGUUCGUCUCGCUUGCGAAUCGUUUCAGCGCGAUGUACAGUGCUGGAGGAUACGCGAAGUACCGAGGAGAAGGAAAAUAGGCGAGAAAGAGAGACAGCUACAUAAACACGAAGAGCGGAAUACGCUCGGGAGAGGAACGAUAUACAAUACGUGCAAGCUACACGUAUCCGUGAGUACGUGUUCUUUACUCGAGACGUCUAUCCUAUCCUCCGUAAAUUGAAUGUGUGAGUGGUUAGGAGAAAUAAGGAGGGUUACAGAAGAGAGAAAAAAGGUAUAGGUGAAUCUUGACAUUUAUAUGUAUGUGACCUGUCCCGAGGAGGCAUUCGUCUACUACGCAUUAGAAACAUGUAUGUACGUGUUGGUGCCCGCACGUAUUAUUCCGAAGAUUUCUCUAUCCUUCUCACUCUCGCUUAGUGUUUUAUGCUUGCGGCUUCUAGCCGCUACGUUUACCGUAUACGAGAGAUUUAAGCACGCUUGUGCACCGUGCAGUGUGCAUAGAAUGGCUGUGUGUAUUGUAUGGGAAAAUUGCUGUAGCUAGAACCAUAGAGGCGUGCUUGUUCCUAGUGUAUCGUGUAUCCUUGCUCUCUGAAACUAAAUUCUUCGUGUUCGUUCGAUAUCUGGUUCUCGCGAAUUGCUCGCGAUAGGAAAAGGUUGGUUGCGUGUGUGGGCAGAGGCGGCGUGCGUCCCGUCGAUUUGUCGUUUUCCCACAGGCGCGAAGGUUUCCGCGUAGGAGCGCAAAGGACGGAAUCGAUGACAGCCAUGAAGGCAGGAGAAAACCAAGGAGGGGAGGUAAUCGUGCAUUUACAUACGCGGAGGAGCGCGCGAGCGCGUACCGAUAACGUUGCGAGCGCCCGUUAAACUUUAUUGCGUUCAAUUUAAAAAUAGAAUUCUAUCUAGAAGGAAGAGACGUUACGCGCGCAUAAAGAAUGUCUCGCUAAAGAUACGCCGGCUGGCGGAGGCUUGUCCGACUUGUCCUCGUCUCACGAAGUUACUCUUCUUGGAAUAUUUUCGUUUUCGAUCAUCGAAGAAUAAUUCAGAAACUCAACGAAUACCCAGAACGGGGAUUUCCUUUUUUACAAAUUGAUAAAUAAAGAUAGACAGUUACCACACAUUUGUGGAAGAUUUCGUUCAAUUAUAGAAGGUAUUUGUAGUAACGUGUUAUAAUGUUUGGAGUAUGAAGUAUGCAGGCUUUUCUGUUCCUUUUGAACUUCGGUUACGGGUCUUUUAAAUUAAAGGUGUCGUCGCCUGUAUCGUUUUUGACCUAUGGCCUCCAAACGACGAAAAACAGUUCCACUCGUCAAUCAGAAGACUAGGCAAUUGUUCUGCAAUUAG